UACGGAGGGAGCUAGCGUUGUUCGGAAUUACUGGGCGUAAAGCGCGCGUAGGCGGCUUUGUAAGUUAGAGGUGAAAGCCCCGGAGCUCAACUCCGGAACUGCCUUUAAAACUGCAUCGCUUGAAUCCAGGAGAGGUGAGUGGAAUUCCGAGUGUAGAGGUGAAAUUCGUAGAUAUUCGGAAGAACACCAGUGGCGAAGGGCGGCUCACUGGACUGGUAUUGACGCUG
rnacentral:rRNA from 1 species